AUUGAACGCUGGCGGCAUGCCUAACACAUGCAAGUCGAACGGCAGCACAGUAAAGAUUUCGGUCUUUAUGGGUGGCGAGUGGCGGACGGGUGAGUAAUGCGUAGGAAUCUGUCCUGGAGAGUAGGAUAACCCGAGGAAACUCGGGCUAAUACUGCAUGAUAUCGAGAGAUCAAAGGCAGGGGACCCUUCGGGGCCUUGCGCUCCAGGAUGAGCCUACGUCGGAUUAGCUAGUUGGUGGGGUAAAGGCCUACCAAGGCGACGAUCCGUGGCUGGUCUGAGAGGAUGACCAGCCACACUGGGACGGAGACACGGCCCAGACUCCUACGGGAGGCAGCAGUGGGGAAUCUUGGACAAUGGGGGAAACCCUGAUCCAGCGAUGCCGCGUGUGUGAAGAAGGCCUUCGGGUUGUAAAGCACUUUAGUUGGGGAAGAAAAGUAAUGAGUGAAUAACUGAUUGCUCUGACGGUACCCAAAGAAUAAGCACCGGCUAACUCUGUGCCAGCAGCCGCCGUAA
rnacentral:rRNA from 1 species